AAGGAUAGUCUUUUGGGGGUGGGGUGACAUAUAUUCACCUCUAUUUAAAUGUUUGUUUAUGAGUGGGAGGGGUCAAUGAACCUCAGGUAAAGUUGUCCUG
rnacentral:miRNA from 1 species